CGCAACUCUACCGCUAACUCUGCUUGCUUGGGGACAUGGAUGUUUUAUCUCCGCAAUUAACAAGCCUGGAGGAGCUUCUGCCGACUGAGAGUUCUGCUGUGUUGUGGAGUUGCUAAUGCUAACAGUUAGCUUCUAAAAGCCAAGACAUUCUCUGCUGUUUCCUGGUCACUAAACCAACAACAGCCUUCCCCGUCACGAGUCAUGAUGGUGAGUGUGGAGAGCUCAGUCUUACCCGUUUGAUGGAUUUGUUGACCACGGAGCAUCGCUGUUGUCUGGCAGCUGUAACCUGAAACACAGGAACAAAAAUCGAGACCGCUCAGAGAAGAAAAGGUAAUCUCAUAGGACAAAAACCAGCUGAAAGCAAAGCUAUUGUUGGAGAAAAACAAGCGUGGGAGCCGAAGGAACACCGACAGUGAUAUGUGUGACACUCCCAGGCAGCAUAUCUGCUUCUCAUAUAUGAACUGUAGCAAAGAUCUGGAGUUUCACAGAACGGCUCCUGAACAUGAAGACACUUACUUAAAGUCUGUGAUGACGGGGUCCAGUUCUGGGCUGUUUAUGACCGACAAUCUGGAAUAGGGAACACAGACGAGUCUGAAAACCUGUAGGCUUAUUUUUUUAUUCUUUUUUCCUGUUGCAGUUCCUUUUGUUUCUGACUUUAAUAGAAUAAAUGACAGAAUGCACAACGCCAUCAUACCGGCUCGGGGAGUCCAUGCUGUCUUGUUCCUCCACUACACCCCUGUGAGGAGAUUAAUGAGAAAAGAUGAGAAAAUCACCUCAUGGCAUGAGAUAUGAGGGCUGAAACCCCUAAAAUAUCAGUUCUGUUCAUGUAUCAGGACUCAUAUCCAAAGAUAAAGUCACGAUUGUGUCCCCUAGGAGAGAUACUGAUUUUUUAUAUUAGAUGCUCAUUAACAAUCAAACCUGAAGAAAAAAAUGAAUCAAAGGUUCACUGGAUACAUGAGUGAAUGGGAAAAAGACACAUUUAGAUGAGAAAAAUCUAAUUCUCUCUGAUAUUUUUGUUUAUAAAUCAUAAGUUUUCUGACCAAAACCAACAUUUGACUCCAUUGUUGUUUGAAACAAGUUUUAAAAAUGCUUCAUUCUCUCAUUUUGGGAUUUUUAGAUUACUUUGGUAUGUAAUCAAAAGGUGUUGUAAGCAUGACUGUACCAGAUUAAUCUUAUGGAUAAAGCAUAUUAAAUAAAGUCAUGUUGUUUUGUAUGAUUUCCUCUCAUCCUAUAGACUACUUUCCAUUAGCUUUACCUCAGCAUUUGACUGUAAUCUGGACAAACAGCAUCACGACAGAAAUGCUGCCAAACAGGAUAUAAACUGGUUACACAUUUAAAGAGAGCACAUGCAGGAAUCAUAAUACCAAACACAAUUUAUGAGUUCCCUUUUGUUUUACAGCUAAAUAAAGUAGUUUACGAUGGAUUUCUUAUUUCUAUUUCUGACAGAAAGCUGGCUGCUCAGCCGCGGCACGAUAAUCUUAUCUCGUCUCUCUUUAGAUAAAAAGUCUGGCAGCUUUCAUCACAUGAUGAUUACCUUCAG